GACGAACGCUGGCGGCGUGCCUAAUACAUGCAAGUUGAGCGCUGAAGGUUGGUACUUGUACCAACUGGAUGAGCAGCGAACGGGGGAGUAACGCGUGGGGAAUCUGCCUUUGAGCGGGGGACAACAUUUGGAAACGAAUGCUAAUACCGCAUAAAAACUUUAAACACAAGGUUUAAGUUUGAAAGAUGCAAUUGCAUCACUCAAAGAUGAUCCCGCGUUGUAUUAGCUAGUUGGUGAGGUAAAGGCGCACCAAGGCGAUGAUACAUAGCCGACCGGAGAGGGUGAUCGGCCACAUUGGGACUGAGACACGGCCCAAACUCCUACGGGAGGCAGCAGUAGGGAAUCUUCGGCAAUGGACGAAAGUCUGACCGAGCAACGCGGCGUGAGUGAAGAAGGUUUUCGGAUCGUAAAACUCUGUUGGUAGAGAAGAACGUUGGUGAGAGUGGAAAGCUCAUCAAGUGACGGUAACUACCCAGAAAGGGACGGCUAACUACGUG
rnacentral:rRNA from 1 species